CAUCUCCUUCCUGCUGCUAGCCUGCUACCCCUCUCUCUCUCGUCUGCCCCCCUCCCAUCUAAAGCUUUCUAGCGAUUCCUGGCGUUCCUCUUCCGAUUCGCCUCCUCCGUUUGCGGCGGAUAGGAUUUGGAUUUUCGGAUCGACCGACGAAUCCAUCCAUGGCGCGGACCAACUGGGAGGCCGAUAAGAUGCUCGACGUCUACAUCUACGACUACCUGGUCAAGCGCAACCUUCAGGCCACCGCCAAGGCCUUCAUCGCCGAGGGCAAGGUCGCCACCGACCCCGUCGCCAUCGACGCCCCCGGCGGCUUCCUCUUUGAGUGGUGGUCCAUCUUCUGGGACAUCUUCCACUCCUCCACCGCAAAACCAGCCUCCUCCUCCGCCUCCGGUCCUCCCCUUCACGAUAUCAACAAGUCGAGGGAGCACCAGAUGAGGCUCCAGCUACUGCACCAACACAACGCCGCCCAACUCCACACCAGAGGACCUGACGUCUCCGCCGUCCUCGCUUCCAAAAUGAUGGAGGACCGCAUCAGGAACCCCAACCCGGCCGACUCUGACGCAUCACAGCAUCUCCUAGACGCAAAUAGGAUCGCACUUCUCAAGUCACCACCUAACCAAACUGGGCCACCCCCUAUGCAGCAGCAGCAGAUUCACCCAAGAAACCAGCAACUUGACAUCAAGCCCGAUGUUGCUAUGCCACAGAGAACAGUGCCAGCGGACCAUUCUUCAUUAUAUGCAUCAGGGAUGAUGCACCCAAAACCUCCAUUACUCGCCGCUGGACUAAAUCAAGCUGGAGGAAGUGUGCCGCUCAAAGGCUGGCCUCUAACGGUCACAGGUAUCGACCAACUCCGGUCCAAUUUUGGUGCGCAGAAGCAGUUGGUGCCAUCUUCAAACCAGUUCCAACUUUUGUCACCACAACAACAGUUGAUUGCUCAGGCACAAACACCGAAUGACCUUACUAGAAUGAGUUCUCCAGCACCAUCUGCUUCACCGAAUGUUCGAUCAGAUGAUCCGGAUUAUUUGAUGAAGUUGAAGAUGGCCCAGAUGCAGCAGCCCUCAGGCUACCGGCCUAUGGAAUUGCAACAGCCGCAACAACAGGUGGUGAAGAACAUCAAGUUUCUUUGUAGCCUCUUGUGGCAGAUACUAAACGAGUUUACCUAUUUUCUUGUCAUCCAGAACACUAGAAAGCGGAAGCCAACUUCUUCUGGAGCAGCUAAUAGUACUGGCACAGGAAAUACUGUUGGGCCUUCUCCUCCAUCAACUCCAUCCACUCAUACUCCAGGUGGUGGGGUACCAGUGACUAGCAAUGCUAAUAUUUUACAGAAGAGUUCAAUGAUUUGCGGCACGGAUGGAACCAGUGGACUUGCCUCGUCCUCAAAUCAGAUGGAUACUUUGGAUAGUUUUGUUGAUUUUGAUGAAAAUGUUGAUUCAUUCUUGUCGAAUGAUGAUGGAGACGGAAGAGACAUGUUUGCAGCAUUGAAAAAAGGGUCUUCAGAGCACAAUUCAGAGUCCUUAAAGGGUCUCUCCUUGAGUGAGGUAGGUAACAACCGCACAAGCAACAACAAGGUUGUUUGCUGUCACUUCUCUACAGAUGGAAAGUUAUUAGCUAGUGCUGGCCAUGAGAAGAAGGUCUUCCUCUGGAAUAUGGAUAAUUUUAAGAUGGAUACCAAAAUAGAAGACCACACAAACUUUAUCACAGACAUAAGGUUCAAAACUAAUUCCACUCAGUUGGCUACAUCAUCUUCUGAUGGAACUGUUCGACUUUGGAAUGCUGCUGAUGAAAGUGGCACUUUACAAACUUUUCAUGGGCAUACCUCUCAUGUAACGUCAGUAGAUUUUCACCCAAGAUUGACAGAGGUUCUUUGCUCUUGUGAUGACAAUGGAGAAAUUCGCUUCUGGAAAGUUGGUCAAACUACAUCGACCCAUGUUUUAAGGGCGAAGCAGGGUGGUACCGGAAGAGUCAGGUUUCAGCCACGAAGUGGGCAGCUCCUAGCUGUGGCAGGUGGAAGCAUGGUGAACAUUUUUGAUGUUGAAAAGCAGGCAAACUUACCCUCUCCAGCAAAGGGUCACAACAGUGAGGUAAACUGUGUGUGCUGGGAUGAAAGUGGUGAAUAUCUGGCUUCUGUAAGUCAAGACACUGUGAAAGUGUGGUCAGUAUCGUCAGGAGCGUGCAUUCAUCAGCUAAGAUCUCAUGGGAACCAAUAUCAGUCAUGCGUGUUCCACCCGAGAUACCCAAAAGUGUUGAUUGUUGGUGGUUAUCAGACGCUGGAGCUAUGGAGCUUAUCGGAUAACCAGAGGAACCCAAUCCAGGCGCACGAGGGGCUGGUAGCUGCUCUGGCACACUCCCCGUUCACGGGGAUGAUUGCCUCUGCCAGUCAUGACAGAUACGUGAAGCUCUGGAAGUAGCUAGAAACUAAAGGAGAGCUUGCAGACGAUGGGCCAUCCAAUGCAGGCGGCUUCGCACUCGUCGCGGCAGUUGCCCAGCGCCGCCCGCGGGGACGACGCCACCACAACCAACCACAGCAGCAGCGCCGCCGCCGCCGCCGGUGUCUUGGUACGCGCGCGGAGAGAGAGAGAGAGAUGACGACGUUGACAAGAUCGGAGGAGGAGAAGGACGACGCCCUAUGGCAUCCAUCUCCCCUGCUUUAUAUACAUGCAGACUCGAUGCAUGCAGCCACAAACUAAAAAGAAAAUAAUAACUGUACGGCAUGUUAUGCAUGCAGCCACAAACUAAAACAGACGGGACGGCAACGGUGGAGCUGCACCCUCGGGUGUGCUUGUGCUUCUCGUGUGUGUGUGUGUGUGUCUAUUUUUUUUUUUAAAAAAUUAUUUCAUA